CCUACGGGCGGCAGCAGUAGGGAAUCUUUCACAAUGGGCGAAAGCCUGAUGGAGCAACGCCGCGUGCAGGAUGAAGGCCUUCGGGUUGUAAACUGCUUUUAUAAGCGAGAAAUAUGAUGGUAACUUAUGAAUAAGGAUCGGCUAACUACGUGCCAGCAGCCGCGGUCAUACGUAGGAUCCGAGCAUUAUCCGGGGUGACUGGGUGUAAAGAGUUGCGUAGGUGGCAUAAUAAGUAGAUAGUGAAAUCUGGUGGCUCAACCAUUCAGACUAUUAGCUAAACUGUUAAGCUCGAGACCGUUAGGGGUAACUGGAAUUUCUAGUGUAGGAGUGAAAUCCGUAGAUAUUAGAAGGAACACCAAUAGCGUAGGCAGGUUGCUGGGACGGUUCUGACACUAAGGCACGAAAGCGUAGGGAGCAAACGGGAUUAGAUACCCUUGUAGUC
rnacentral:rRNA from 1 species